rnacentral:rRNA from 1 species
UCUGGUUGAUCCCUGCCAGUAGUCAUAUGCUUGUCUCAAAGAUUAAGCCAUGCAUGUCUAAGUACAAGCCUCAAUAAGGUGAAACCGCGAAUGGCUCAUUAAAUCAGUUAUGGUCGCUUAGAUCGUUCAAUCCACUUGGAUAACUGUAGUAAUUCUAGAGCUAAUACAUGCGAGCAAGCUCCGACCUUCGGGGAAGAGCGCUUUUAUUAGACCAAAACCAAUCGGGGGCAACCCCGUUCGGCUGGUGACUCUGGAUAACUUUGUGCCGAUCGCACGGCCUUAGAGCCGGCGACGUAUCUUUCGAAUGUCUGCCCUAUCAAGUUUCGACUGUCGGCGACUUGCCUACAGUGCUGAUAACGGGUAGCGGGGAAUCAGGGUUCGGUUCCGGAGAGGGAGCAUGAGAAACGGCUACCACAUCCAAGGAAGGCAGCAGGCGCGCAAAUUACCCACUCCUAGCACGGGGAGGUAGUGACGAAAAAUAACAAUACGGGACUCUUUCGAGGCCUCGUAAUUGGAAUGAGUACAGUUUAAAGAGUUUAACGAGGAUCUAUUGGAGGGCAAGUCUGGUGCCAGCAGCCGCGGUAAUUCCAGCUCCAAUAGCGUAUAUUAAAGUUGUUGCAGUUAAAAAGCUCGUAGUUGGAUCUCGGGUGCAGGCUGGCGGUCCGCCUCGCGGCGGUUGCACUGCCACGUUCCUGCCCUGCCUUGCCGGUUCGUCCUCAGGUGCUCUUCGCCGAGUGCCUCGGGUGGCCGGGACGUUUACUUUGAAAAAAUUAGAGUGUUCAAAGCAGGCGCGUUCGCCUGGAUAACGGUGCAUGGAAUAAUAGAAUAGGACCUCGGUUCUAUUUUGUUGGUUUUCGGGACUCGAGGUAAUGAUCAAGAGGGACGGAAGGGGGCAUCUGUAUCGGGUCGUUAGAGGUGAAAUUCUGUGAUCGACUCGAGACAAACGGCUGCAAAAGCGGUUGCCCAUAACGUUCCCAUUGAUCAAGAGCGAAAGUCAGAGGUUCGAAGACGAUCAGAUACCGUCGUAGUUCUGACCCUAAACGAUGCCAGCUGGGGAUUCGCCGUAGUUGAUCGAACUGACUCGGCGAGAACCCUCCGGGAAACCUUAAGCGUACAGGUUCCGGGGGAAGUAUGGUUGCAAAGCUGAAACUUAAAGGAAUUGACGGAAGGGCACCACCAGGAGUGGAGCCUGCGGCUUAAUUUGACUCAACACGGGAAAACCUACCAGGCCCGGACACCGCGAGGAUUGACAGAUGGAGAGCUCUUUCUUGAUUCGGUGGGUGGGGGUGCAUGGCCGUUCUUAGUUG